UACGAAGGGGGCUAGCGUUGCUCGGAAUCACUGGGCGUAAAGAGUGCGUAGGCGGGUUUUUAAGUCUGGGGUGAAAUCCUGGGGCUCAACUCCAGAACUGCCUUUGAUACUGAGGAUCUUGAGUUCGGGAGAGGUGAGUGGAACUGCGAGUGUAGAGGUGAAAUUCGUAGAUAUUCGCAAGAACACCAGUGGCGAAGGCGGCUCACUGGCCCGAUACUGACGCUGAGGCACGAAAGCGUGGGGAGCAAACAGG
rnacentral:rRNA from 1 species